CAGCAGCCACGGUAAUACGUAGGUGGCAAGCGUUGUCCGGAAUUAUUGGGCGUAAAGGGCUCGCAGGCGGUCUCUUAAGUCUGAUGUGAAAGCCCCCGGCUCAACCGGGGAGGGUCAUUGGAAACUGGGAAACUUGAGUGCAGAAGAGGAGAGUGGAAUUCCACGUGUAGCGGUGAAAUGCGUAGAGAUGUGGAGGAACACCAGUGGCGAAGGCGACUCUCUGGUCUGUAACUGACGCUGAGGAGCGAAAGCGUGGGGAGCGAACAGGAUUAGAUACCCCAGUAGUCCCUGUCUCUUAUAC
rnacentral:rRNA from 1 species